CAGCAGCCGCGGUAAUACGUAGGUGGCGAGCGUUGUCCGGAAUUACUGGGUGUAAAGGGCGUGUAGGCGGGGCGGCAAGUCAGAUGUGAAAUACCUUGGCUUAACUGAGGUGCUGCAUCUGAAACUGUCGUUCUUGAGUGUCGGAGAGGAAAGUGGAAUUCCCAGUGUAGCGGUGAAAUGCGUAGAGAUUGGGAGGAACACCAGUGGCGAAGGCGACUUUCUGGACGACAACUGACGCUGAGGCGCGAAAGCGUGGGGAGCGAACAGGAUUAGAUACCCUGGUAGUCCACGCCGUAAACGAUGGAUACUAGGUGUAGGAGGUAUCGACCCCUUCUGUGCCGGAGUUAACACAAUAAGUAUCCCACCUGGGGAGUACGGCCGCAAGGCUGAAACUCAAAGGAAUUGACGGGGGCCCGCACAAGCAGUGGAGCAUGUGGUUUAAUUCGAAGCAACGCGAAGAACCUUACCAGGGCUUGACAUCCCUCUGACAUCCUUAGAGAUAAGGAUUCCUUUCGGGGCAGAGGAGACAGGUGGUGCAUGGCC
rnacentral:rRNA from 1 species